rnacentral:tRNA from 1 species
GCGGUGUUGAUGUUCAACGGCUAGCAUAUCAGCCUUCCACGCUGAAUGUAAGGGUUCGAAUCCCUUACGCCGCA